GAUCCUGGCUCAGGACGAACGCUGGCGGCGUGCCUAACACAUGCAAGUCGAACGGAGAUAAGCGCGGAUUUGAAGGAAGCUUGCUUUUGGAUUAUCUUGCUUAUCUUAGUGGCGGACGGGCGAGUAACGCGUGAGUAACCUGCCCUUCAGUGGGGAACAACAGUUGGAAACGGCUGCUAAUACCGCAUAAUGUGCCACCGGGGCAUCCCGGAGGUACCAAAGGAGCAAUUCGCUGAAGGAUGG
rnacentral:rRNA from 1 species